rnacentral:rRNA from 1 species
UGGGGAAUAUUGGGCAAUGGGCGAAAGCCUGAUCCAGCCAUGCCGCGUGUGUGAAGAAGGCCUUUUGGUUGUAAAGCACUUUAAGUGGGGAGGAAAAGCUUAUGGUUAAUACCCAUAAGCCCUGACGUUACCCACAGAAUAAGCACCGGCUAACUCUGUGCCAGCAGCCGCGGUAAUACAGAGGGUGCAAGCGUUAAUCGGAAUUACUGGGCGUAAAGCGCGCGUAGGUGGUUAUUUAAGUCAGAUGUGAAAGCCCCGGGCUUAACCUGGGAACUGCAUCUGAUACUGGAUAACUAGAGUAGGUGAGAGGGGAGUAGAAUUCCAGGUGUAGCGGUGAAAUGCGUAGAGACCUGGAGGAAUACCGAUGGCGAAGGCAGCUCCCUGGCAUCAUACUGACACUGAGGUGCGAAAGCGUGGGUAGCAAACAGGAUUAGAUACCCUGGUAGUCCACGCCGUAAACGAUGUCUACCAGUCGUUGGGUCUUUUAAAGACUUAGUGACGCAGUUAACGCAAUAAGUAGACCGCCUGGGGAGUACGGCCGCAAGGUUA